AUUGAACGCUGGCGGCAUGCCUUACACAUGCAAGUCGAACGGCAGCACGGGGCAACCUGUGGCGAGUGGCGAACGGGUGAGUAAUGCAUCGGAACGUACCUUUCAGUGGGGGAUAACGUAGCGAAAGUUACGCUAAUACCGCAUAUUCUGUGAGCAGGAAAGCAGGGGAUCGCAAGACCUUGCGCUGAUUGAGCGGCCGAUGUCAGAUUAGCUAGUUGGUGAGGUAAAGGCUCACCAAGGCGACGAUCUGUAGCGGGUCUGAGAGGAUGAUCCGCCACACUGGAACUGAGACACGGUCCAGACUCCUACGGGAGGCAGCAGUGAGGAAUUUUGGACAAUGGGGGCAACCCUGAUCCAGCCAUGCCGCGUGAGUGAAGAAGGCCUUCGGGUUGUAAAGCUCUUUCGGCCGGGAAGAAAUCGCACGGGCUAAUACCCUGUGUGGAUGACGGUACCGGAAUAAGAAGCACCGGCUAACUACGUGCCAGCCGCCGCCGUAAAAC
rnacentral:rRNA from 1 species